rnacentral:rRNA from 1 species
UACAGAGGUCUCAAGCGUUGUUCGGAUUUAUUGGGCGUAAAGGGCGCGUAGGCGGCGGGGUAAGUCGGGUGUGAAAUCUCAGGGCUCAACCCUGAAACUGCACUUGAUACUGCUCUGCUUGAGGACUGGAGAGGAGACUGGAAUUCCUGGUGUAGCGGUGAAAUGCGCAGAUAUCAGGAGGAACACCGGUGGCGAAGGCGGGUCUCUGGGCCGAAACUGACGCUGAGGAGCGAAAGCGUGGGGAGCGAACAGG